ensembl:lncRNA
GACCCAGAUUUCCUUGAGGAUCUGAAACAGCCUAAUGCUAAAUCAGAUCCCACCCUGAUGAGGAUCUUAUCAAGGAGUGAGUUGUACCAUACUCAUCAAGAGAGCAUGUUCUGCCUGGUUUUGAUUCUUGAGGUUCAGGAGUUUGUGUGCGUGUAUUAGUUGCUCAGUCAUGUCCAACUCUUUGAGAUCUCAUGGACUGUAGCCCACCAGGCUCCUCUGUCCAUGGGAUUCUCCAGGCAAGAAUACUGGAGUGGGUUGCCACUUCCUUCUCCACUUAGGGAGAGUUUAGUCCUCUGCAACAUGAACAUAUUCAUGAUUGGCAGGAAAGGCCAUGGAUUCUUGCCUCAGGUCUAUGUCAGUGUGAUGUUUGGAAGGUUUGGCAGCUUCUGCUCAAGGUAAAAAUUCUAAAGCUUACUGCUCUUUGUAAGAAGAUAUCUUACAACAGGUAAUUAUACCUACAUUGGUAAAAUUGCCUAAGUUCCCUUCCGAUUCUCAAAAACCAGCUCUUCCUGUCAGGAAUUUCUCAGCUGAUAGAAUCCAGAUUAGACAGAAUGCUUGGCUUGGCCUAUGGAGAUCAUGAGCCUUAGGGCUAGAGGUGGCCUAGAAGACUGGGCAUUGCUUCAGGGAAACACAUGAAGCUCUUUGGCCAAAACUUUGGCCACCCGACGCAAAGAGCGAACUCAUUGGAAAAGACCAUGAUGUUGGGAAAGACUGAAGGCAAAAGAAGAGGUGGCCGAGGAUGAGGUGGUUGGAUGGCAUCAUUGACUUGACGACAUGAAUCUGAACAAACUCAGGAAGAUAGUGGAGGACAGAGGAGCCUGGCAUGCUGCAGUCUACGGGGCUGCAGAGUCAGACACGCCUUAGCGACUGAACAACAAACUACCUUGUUGUAACUACUCUUUUUCCCAGUCCAGGGCAGGGGAGGCAGCUUUACAUUUUUUGUGUGAGGAGAAAUCACUUUUCAUUGAUUCAUUGACUGAGCAUACAUUUACCGAGUAACUGCUUUAUAUUAGGAUUUGAACACACUUCACACUUCUUGCCUUUUACACAAGCAGUCUGAAGAACACAUUGCCUGGUGGAAUCACGGAAGGUUCUUUGAAAAGGUAGGUUUUAAAGAUAAAUACAAGUUUACAAGACUAAGGAUGGGGAGAAGAGGGCAAAGAGAGGAGGUAUUUUAGGCAGAGAAUGUCAAAUGGUUUAAGGUGCUGAUGCAAAGUAGGCAGAUGUGCUCAAGAAAUUGAAUUCUUAUUGAGAAGGUUUGAACACUGUAAUGACUGGUGGUGAUGGGAAGAGAGGUGCUUAAUUGUGGGAGAAUGAGUUGAAACUGUGAACAUGCAGACAGGGUCAGAAGUCAAGGGGCACCCAACAAGAUGCAGAAAGGCUCGAGGGCACAUCCAAUUGGGUGUCUCUGAGUCUUGGAAGAAUUUGCAGGUUGCGGGAAGAUUGGCUCCAAUGACAGCCAGAGACAACCCUUCUAGUCCUGGGAGAAAUCUGCAGUUUUCUAAUUACAAGAAAAGUCAUCUCACGGUUCUGAGGCUCCCCCUCACAGCACAGUGGUAAAGAAUCUGCCUGCAAUGCAGGAGACGUAAGAGAUGUAGGUUUGAUUCCUGGGUCUGGAAGAUCCCCUGAAGUAGAAAAUGGCAACCCAUUCCACUAUUCUUGCCUGGAAAAUCCCAUGGACAGAGGAGCCUGGUGGACUGUAGCCCAUGUGGGCAUGUAGUCCAUGGAGUCACAAAGAGUUGGGCAUGACUUAGCGACCUAACAACAUCUCACUGUUUUAUCCUUAAAUGACCGUUUCGUAUCAGUUAGCUAGGGAAAAACACAAUCUCAGACAACAUACCGACACUGAAGGUCUACUCCUGGGCCCCACUGGUGUUCAAAAACUACAGGCCAUGAAACCCAAGCAAUAUUAGGCCACUUCCUUUUCCAGAUGUGACCUCAGAGGUGAAUGCAAUAUCAGCAAAAAGAGCCAAAUGGAUAGCCUAAAAGGAUCAUAAAUUUUUCUUACAAGUUCAAAGCACUUACCUCAAG